rnacentral:rRNA from 1 species
UACGGGGGGAGCAAGCGUUGUUCGGAUUUACUGGGCGUAAAGGGCGCGUAGGCGGCCAGCGCAAGUCAGUUGUGAAAUCUCCGGGCUUAACUCGGAACGGUCAACUGAUACUGCGCGGCUAGAGUGCAGAAGGGGCAACUGGAAUUCUCGGUGUAGCGGUGAAAUGCGUAGAUAUCAGGAGGAACACCAGCGGCGAAGGCGGCGCUCUGGGCCGGUACUGACGCUGAGGAGCGAAAGCGUGGGGAGCAAACAGG